rnacentral:rRNA from 1 species
CGAACGCUGGCGGUGUGCUUAACACAUGCAAGUCGAACGGUAAGGCCCUUUCGGGGGUACACGAGUGGCGAACGGGUGAGUAACACGUGAGUAACCUGCCCUCAUCUCUGGGAUAACAGUCGGAAACGGUUGCUAAUACUGGAUAUGAGCCUGCAAGGCAUCUUGUGGGUUGGAAAGAUUUUUUGGUUGGGGAUGGACUCGCGGCCUAUCAGCUUGUUGGUGAGGUAGUGGCUCACCAAGGCUUCGACGGGUAGCCGGCCUGAGAGGGCGACCGGCCACAUUGGGACUGAGAUACGGCCCAAACUCCUACGGGAGGCAGCAGUGGGGAAUAUUGCACAAAGGACGGAAGUCUGAUGCAGCAACGCCGCGUGCGGGAUGACGGCCUUCGGGUUGUAAACCGCUUUCAAUUGUGACGAAGCUUUUUGUGACGGUAGCAGUAGAAGAAGCACCGGCUAACUACGUG